AAUUAUUUGACUGAACGCCCAAGUAGUUAUCUUGAAAAUAACCUAAAAGAGUUUAACUCUCUUAAUAAUUU
rnacentral:tRNA from 1 species